CAGACAAAGACUUUUUAUCGAACUAAGCACCAGGAGAAUGUAAAAGACCAAUGGGGCUAAAUGCAGAUAAACAUACUCGAAUUAGCAAAAAUGAGAAUUUGGUGGUGGACACUCUUUGGUGAAUCAUAUUUUGAUGGAUACACGCUUGCAAAGAACGACCUCUGGUGAGAAAAUCGGAUUGAACUUUCUAGAACAUGGUAAUCAAGGACGCCGGUUAACAGUUUGUCAUGCGUCACAGGUUGGGUGAUACCUUGGAUCGUUAAUUUAUUUUUUUUGAAACUUAAUUAAUAAAAUAAAUAAAUUUGA